ACGUAGGGGGCAAGCGUUAUCCGGAAUUAUUGGGCGUAAAGAGUGCGUAGGUGGUUUUUUAAGCGUGAGGUGAAAGGCAAUAGCUUAACUAUUGUAAGCCUUGCGAACUGGAAGACUUGAGUGCAGGAGAGGAAAGUGGAAUUCCUAGUGUAGCGGUGAAAUGCGUAGAUACUAUGAGGAACACCAGUGGCGAAGGCGACUGUAUAGUCUGAAACUGACUCUGAGGCACGAAAGCGUGGGGAGCAAACAG
rnacentral:rRNA from 1 species